rnacentral:rRNA from 1 species
UACAGAGGGGGCAAGCGUUGUUCGGAAUUACUGGGCGUAAAGGGUGCGUAGACGGUUAUGUAAGUCAGAUGUGAAAGCCCCAGGCUCAACCUGGGAAUUGCAUUUGAGACUGCAUAGCUAGGGUGCGGAAGAGGGAAGCGGAAUUUCCGGUGUAGCGGUGAAAUGCGUAGAUAUCGGAAGGAACACCAGUGGCGAAAGCGGCUUCCUGGUCCAGCACCGACGUUCAGGCACGAAAGCGUGGGGAGCAAACAGG